GCGGGCCGCGCCACGCCUCUGGCACGCGCUUCGCCGCGCGCAGGUGCGUCGCCCCGUGGCAAAGUGGGAUGAAGGGCGUGGGCUGUGGUUUCAGUGAGCUCCUCCAGUUUGCGUUACUCAUUUUCUUUUCGCACCUGGAUGGGGUUUACCCACCACUGAAUGCGGGGCUGGAAACCAACAGAAAGAGUGCGAAGUAUAAAAUGUGUAACUCCUCAGGUUCCUGA
rnacentral:lncRNA from 1 species